rnacentral:rRNA from 1 species
UUGGAGGGCAAGUCUGGUGCCAGCAGCCGCGGUAAUUCCAGCUCCAAUAGCGUAUAUUAAAGUUGUUGCAGUUAAAAAGCUCGUAGUUGAAUUUCGAGACCGGCUUACUGGUCGUGCUAUUGUACGUACUGGUAUAAUCGGUUUCUCCUUUCUGACGAACUAUAAUGCCAUUAAUUUGGUGUUUUAGGGAAUCAGGACUGUUACUUUGAAAAAAUUAGAGUGUUUAAAGCAGGCAUACGCUUGAAUACAUUAGCAUGGAAUAAUGAAAUAGGACGUUUGAUUCUAUUUUGUUGGUUUCUAGGAUCGACGUAAUGAUUAAUAGGGAUAGUUGGGGGCAUUAGUAUUCAAUUGUCAGAGGUGAAAUUCUUGGAUUUAUUGAAGACUAACUACUGCGAAAGCAUUUGCCAAGGAUGUUUUCAUUAAUCAAGAACGAAAGUUAGGGGAUCGAAGACGAUCAGAUACCGUCGUAGUCCUAACCAUAAACUAUGCCGACUAGGGAUCGGAUGAUGUUAAUUUUAUAAUGACUCAUUCGGCGCCUUACGGGAAAC